rnacentral:rRNA from 1 species
UUGAACGCUGGCGGAAUGCUUUACACAUGCAAGUCGGGCGGCAGCGGCGGGGCAACCCUGGCGGCGAGCGGGCGAACGGGUGAGUAACACAUCGGAACGUACCCUGUCGUGGGGGAUAACGAAUCGAAAGAUUCGCUAAUACCGCAUACGACCUGAGGGUGAAAGCGGGGGAUCGCAAGACCUCGCGCGAGAGGAGCGGCCGAUGGCGGAUUAGCUAGUUGGUGGGGUAAAGGCCCACCAAGGCGACGAUCCGUAGCGGGGUCUGAGAGGACGGCCCGCCACACUGGGACUGAGACACGGCCCAGACUCCUACGGGAGGCAGCAGUGGGGAAUUUUGGACAAUGGGGGCAACCCUGAUCCAGCCAUUCCGCGUGAGUGAAGAAGGCCUUCGGGUUGUAAAGCUCUUUCGGCAGGAACGAAACGGCGGGCUCUAACAUAGCCUGUCAAUGACGGUACCUGAAGAAGAAGCACCGGCUAACUACGUG